GUUGAAGGAAUACUUCCAGCAGAUGUACAUUGAAGAUGUCAGUUUCUACAUGUGGGAAGUAGACAUUGAAGGCUUUAUGGUUUACAGACAAGAUCUUUAGAAGUUAAGCACUAAAGAUAAUGAAUCAAGCCAAAAUGGUGAGAUAUGUAAGUCAAAGAGGAAAAAGUGGAUGAAUGGAGGAUGGAUAGAUGAAUAAUAAAUAGGACCAAGGAAAUAAAUACCAGAAAUCAAGAAGAGCACAGACCAUUUUCCUUCAUCAAUCCAUAGAACCCUAAUGCUUCUUUAGUUCCAUCAAACACAGAGGAAUGACCACCAUGGCAGAUGGCAACAGAGGAUGUCAACAAUUUUUUGGAGAGAGAAGAGGUACUCCCUUAUAGGGACUCGUAAAGACAUAGAGCAUCUGGAAAUCAACUGCCUCCAUUACGCUGCUGAGUCACACACAACGCUUGUUAUGUUUUCAUCACUUCUCUCCAGAAGGCUACAUUAUUGGAAUUUUGAAGUCAUGAAAACAUCAGAUGAACCAACCUGCAACACCUUGGAUUCAGAUUGGAAGAUAAAGAGAAAGUUUAAAGAAUGUGGCCUAUAAAGGCGG
rnacentral:sRNA from 1 species